UGAGGAAUAUUGGACAAUGAGCGAAAGCUUGAUCCAGCCAUGCCGCGUGAGUGAUGAAGGCCUUAGGGUUGUAAAGCUCUUUCAGUAGGGAAGAUAAUGACGGUACCUACAGAAGAAGCCCCGGCUAACUUCGUGCCAGCAGCCGCGGUAAUACGAAGGGGGCUAGCGUUGUUCGGAAUUACUGGGCGUAAAGCGUGCGUAGGCGGUUUGUUAAGUUGGGUGUGAAAUCCCGGGGCUCAACCCCGGAACUGCAUUCAAAACUGGCAAGCUAGAAUCCGAGAGGGGGUAGUGGAAUUCCUAGUGUAGAGGUGAAAUUCGUAGAUAUUAGGAGGAACACCGGCGGCGAAGGCGGCUACCUGGCUCGGUAUUGACGCUGAGGCACGAAAGCGUGGGGAGCAAACA
rnacentral:rRNA from 1 species